GGGGAUGGAGCUCAGUGGUAGAGCUCUUGUCUAGCAUUCAGUAGGUCCUAGGUUCAAUUCUUGGCCAACACUG
rnacentral:tRNA from 1 species